rnacentral:rRNA from 1 species
AUUGAACGCUGGCGGAAUGCUUUACACAUGCAAGUCGAACGGCAGCACGGGUGCCUGCACCUGGAGGCGAGUGGCGAACGGGUGAGUAAUACAUCGGAACGUACCUUAUCGUGGGGGAUAACGCAGCGAAAGCUGUGCUAAUACCGCAUACGCCCUGAGGGGGAAAGCGGGGGAUCGAAAGACCUCGCGCGAUUAGAGCGGCCGAUGCCUGAUUAGCUUGUUGGUGGGGUAAAAGCCCACCAAGGCGACGAUCAGUAGCUGGUCUGAGAGGACGAUCAGCCACACUGGGACUGAGACACGGCCCAGACUCCUACGGGAGGCAGCAGUGGGGAAUUUUGGACAAUGGGGGCAACCCUGAUCCAGCAAUGCCGUGUGAGUGAAGAAGGCCUUCGGGUUGUAAAGCUCUUUUGUCAGGGAAGAAACACCGGCUCUAACACAGUCCGGGAAUGACGGUACCUGAAGAAUAAGCACCGGCUAACUACGUGCCAGCAGCCGCCGUAA